ACCUUUAAUUUUUUAAAAUUUCCUAAACCUGCCUAUAUCCCCCUAAACUUCCUAUUUCACUAACACCUAUGUGACAGUGUUAAGAGAUAGGUCUUUGGAAGGCAAUUAAGUCAUGAAGGUGGAACUCUCAUGAAUAGGAUUGGUACCCUAAUACAAGAAACUCCAGAGAGAUUGUUGGCCUAUACUACCCAUGAGGAUACAACCAGAAGUCUACAACCCAGACCAGGACCUUCAGGCAACCAUGCUUGCACCCGAAACUCAGACCUCCAGCCUCCAGAACUGAGAAAUCAAUCUCUAUUGCUGAAAAGCUAGCUCAGUCUGUGGUACUUUGUUAUAGCAGCCUGAAUAAACUAAGACAACAUGUGACAUGUGAUAGCCCACAGCAUGUACAGAAUGAUGGAUCACAAAUGGAAAGUAAUGUCGCAUGGAAGACAGGGAAUACCACAGGGCAGCUUAAACAGAAGGCAUUUCUUUCUCACUCUGUUAUAGUAAUAAGUUUAGUUAGUAUAAGAUAGCAUAAUCAAAUUUCAUUUUUAUUAGAGUGAAUUUUAAACUUUACUUAGAAGACUUAAUUUGUGUGUGUGUGUGUGUGUAUGUGACCCUGAUAAGUAACUUGUAACUCCCUGCGUGUAAACAACUUGUAACUCCCUGCGUGUGUAUCCUGAUAAGCCCAGAAGGCCACCAGAGCACACUGAUAUGAGACACUGAAGAAGCCCACCCAUGGGGCAUAAAAGAAGGACUCUCACAGCAGCAGUCAGACGCCUGUCUGACCUCCACAGACAAGACGUUCUCCUUCCCCCUGGAAACUGCCGUCCCUGCUCUGCUUCUGAGCCCAGACUGUUAGAGGCCUCUCUUUGAGUCAAGAGACCGAGCUCCUGCCGCAGCGUAUUUGACGACCUCCGUGUGUCUCUGUCAGCAAGUGUCUCUGGGUGGCCUGCCAAGGACUGAAACCCAUCAGCUCUCUGGCUGGAAGUCCAAGAUGAGGUGCCAGCAUGGUCAGGUUCUGGUGAGAGCCCUCCUCCCAGCUGCACGUGGCUGUCUCCUCCUCUGUGCUCACAUGGCAGAAGUCCUGACUAGAGAAGAACUAUGGUCAAGACAUUCAAAGCUGUGCCUGCUUACUCCUAAUGAAGAGGAUCCUGGGCCUCAUCUCUUAUAAGAAGGAGUGUUUUCUAGAAGUUAAAAUUUCCCCUCCUUGGUUGAUUAAUAUAUUUCCAAGUAUAUCCAAAGGACUUGGAAUUGGAUUUAAAAAUUCCAAGCUUAAGAAACCCUUUGAAAAGCAGAUUUUAAGACAGGAUUAGAUUUGCAGGAGAUUUACUGAGGGAAAUGCCUGUGAAGAAUAAACAGAGGUAGCAGAAGUAGGCAAGGAGAGCCUUUAGAUACUGAUGCAGGUCUGACACCUGUGAAAGGAGUGGAGUGGGGAAGGAAUAUCCAUCAAGAAGAGUCUCGGCUUUUUUUUUUGGAAGAUGGCGGCGGUAUAGGCAGACGCGUCCCAGGUCGUGUCCCUGAGCAAAUGGAGUGAGCAGCUGAAACUAGUAACAUCCACCCCGA